ACUGAGGCUUUCCUAGAAGCCAUCAGAUGAUAUAAACAAGAAAUUU
rfam:Calypte anna contig64518, whole genome shotgun sequence.